rnacentral:misc_RNA from 1 species
UAGAGUUACCGCUCCUUAUAACCCUUUGUGAACAUACCUCAAACGUUGCCUCGGCGGGCAGCCGGAGCCCAGCUCCGGCGCUCGGAGCCGCCUUCUCGGCGCGCCCCACCCGCCGGCGGACCACUAAACUCUAUUUCAACGACGUCUCUUCUGAGUGGUACAAGCAAAUAAUCA